CCUACGGGCGCCAGCAGUGGGGAAUAUUGGACAAUGGGCGAAAGCCUGAUCCAGCCAUGCCGCGUGUGUGAAGAAGGCCUUCGGGUUGUAAAGCACUUUCAGUGGGGAAGAAAGCCUUGGGGCUAAUACCCUCGAGGAAGGACAUCACCCACAGAAGAAGCACCGGCUAACUCCGUGCCAGCAGCCGCGGUAAUACGGAGGGGUGCGAGCGUUAAUCGGAAUUACUGGGCGUAAAGCGCGCGUAGGCGGUCUGAUAAGCCGGUUGUGAAAGCCCCGGGCUCAACCUGGGAACGGCAUCCGGAACUGUCAGGCUAGAGUGCAGGAGAGGAAGGUAGAAUUCCCGGUGUAGCGGUGAAAUGCGUAGAGAUCGGGAGGAAUACCAGUGGCGAAGGCGGCCUUCUGGACUGACACUGACGCUGAGGUGCGAAAGCGUGGGUAGCAAACAGGAUUAGAUACCCUAGUAGUC
rnacentral:rRNA from 1 species